rnacentral:rRNA from 1 species
AGAUUGAACGCUGGCGGCAGGCCUAACACAUGCAAGUCGAGCGGUAGAGAGGUGCUUGCACCUCUUGAGAGCGGCGGACGGGUGAGUAAUGCCUAGGAAUCUGCCUAGUGGUGGGGGAUAACGUUCGGAAACGGACGCUAAUACCGCAUACGUCCUAUGGGAGAAAGCGGGGGACCUUCGGGCCUCGCGCCAUUAGAUGAGCCUAGGUCGGAUUAGCUAGUUGGUGAGGUAAUGGCUCACCAAAGGCGACGAUCCGUAACUGGUCUGAGAGGAUGAUCAGUCACACUGGAACUGAGACACGGUCCAGACUCCUACGGGAGCAGCAGUGGGGAAUAUUGGACAAUGGGCGAAAGCCUGAUCCAGCCAUGCCGCGUGUGUGAAGAAGGUCUUCGGAUUGUAAAGCACUUUAAGUUGGAGAAGGGUUGUAACUUAAUACGUUGCAACUUUGACGUUACCGACAGAAUAAGCACCGGCUAACUUCGUAGCCAGCAGCCGUA